CUACGGGGGGCUGCAGUGAGGAAUAUUGCACAAUGGGGGGAACCCUGAUGCAGCAACGCCGCGUGGAGGAUGACGCAUUUCGGUGUGUAAACUCCUUUUAUAUGUCAAGAAAAUGACGGUAGCAUAUGAAUAAGCACCGGCUAACUCCGUGCCAGCAGCCGCGGUAAUACGGAGGGUGCAAGCGUUACUCGGAAUCACUGGGCGUAAAGGACGCGUAGGCGGGUUGGAAAGUCAGGUGUGAAAUCCUACAGCUUAACUGUAGAACUGCACUUGAAACUUCUAAUCCAGAGUAUGGGAGGGGGAGAUGGAAUUAGCGGUGUAGGGGUAAAAUCCGUAGAUAUCACUAGGAAUACCUAAAGCGAAGGCGAUCUCCUGGAACAUUACUGACGCUAAGGCGUGAAAGCGUGGGGAGCAAACAGGAUUAGAUACCCUCGUAGUC
rnacentral:rRNA from 1 species